ACUCUGAUAAGAUUGUAAACUUUAGGGAAGAUGGAGUACAGAAGAGAAGGGAGUUGGGGAGAGGGAAUCUGGGAGCAGAACAAGAUGGGAAAAUCUGACCAGUGUGCUAGGUUCAUUUUUAUCCUGACUUCAGUUAAACUUGAGUUAAGCAAUAUUAUGGAAUUUUAGUUAAAGAAAAUUUAGAGGGGUCAAACUUAGACUCAGAUCACCCAAAUAACAAACCUGGAGACAGGCAUUUUACUUAAAAAAAAUUCUGAUGAUAUUUUUUGGGUACAGAGGCCUAUAUAGUACUAUCUGUAUAGUGCGUAAAAACUAUAUCAUUUUAGUAGCUUUGUGGUUUUAGUUGCAGGAGAUUUGGUGUAUCCAAAGCAACUCUUUUUGAGUUGUAAGGUUGCGCAUUGGACUAUAAUUUGUCCAUAUAUUGGACUUUGUGAUAAAUGAAUGUAUUGAGAACGCAUUAGGAUCAUCUUGCAUAUUUCACAUGUUUUCUC
rnacentral:lncRNA from 1 species